UGAAAUCUCGCGGCUCAACCGCGAACGGUCAUUGGAAACUGGAGGACUUGAGUACAGAAGAGGAGAGUGGAAUUCCACGUGUAGCGGUGAAAUGCGUAGAGAUGUGGAGGAACACCAGUGGCGAAGGCGACUCUCUGGUCUGUAACUGACGCUGAGGAGCGAAAGCGUGGGGAGCGAACAGGAUUAGAUACCCUGGUAGUCCACGCCGUAAACGAUGAGUGCUAGGUGUUAGGGGGUUUCCGCCCCUUAGUGCUGAAGUUAACGCAUUAAGCACUCCGCCUGGGGAGUACGGCCGCAAGGCUGAAACUCAAAAGAAUUGACGGGGGCCCGCACAAGCGGUGGAGCAUGUGGUUUAAUUCGAAGCAACGCGAAGAACCUUACCAGGUCUUGACAUCCUCUGCCAUUCCUAGAGAUAGGAAGUUCCCUUCGGGGACAGAGUGACAGGUGGUGCAUGGUUGUCGUCAGCUCGUGUCGUGAGAUGUUGGGUUAAGUCCCGCAACGAGCGCAACCCUUGAUCUUAGUUGCCAGCAUUUAGUUGGGCACUCUAAGGUGACUGCCGGUGACAAACCGGAGGAAGGUGGGGAUGACGUCAAAUCAUCAUGCCCCUUAUGACCUGGGCUACACACGUGCUACAAUGGAUGGAACAAAGGGAAGCAAAACCGCGAGGUCAAGCAAAUCCCAUAAAACCAUUCUCAGUUCGGAUUGCAGGCUGCAACUCGCCUGCAUGAAGCCGGAAUCGCUAGUAAUCGCGGAUCAGCAUGCGCGGGGGAAAUACCUUUCCCGGGCCUUGUACACACCGCCCGUCACACCACGAGAGUUGGUAACACCCGAAGUCGGUGAGGUAACCUUUUGGAGCCAGCCGCCGAAGGUGGGACCAAUGAUU
rnacentral:rRNA from 1 species